CAGUAGCCGCGGUAAUACGGAGGGUGCAAGCGUUAAUCGGAAUUACUGGGCGUAAAGCGCACGCAGGCGGUCUGUCAAGUCGGAUGUGAAAUCCCCGGGCUCAACCUGGGAACUGCAUUCGAUACUGGGAAGCUAGAGUAUGGGAGAGGAUGGUAGAAUUCCAGGUGUAGCGGUGAAAUGCGUAGAGAUCUGGAGGAAUACCGAUGGCGAAGGCAGCCAUCUGGCCUAAUACUGACGCUGAGGUACGAAAGCAUGGGGAGCAAACAGGAUUAGAUACCCCUGUAGUCCCUGUCUCUUAUAC
rnacentral:rRNA from 1 species